rnacentral:rRNA from 1 species
UUGAUCCUGGCUCAGGACGAACGCUGGCGGCGUGCCUAAUACAUGCAAGUCGAGCGAGCCGAACUAAUUGAUUACCUUCGGGUAUGAAGUUAGGGAAGCGAGCGGCGGAUGGGUGAGUAACACGUGGGUAACCUACCCUAUAGUCUGGGAUACCACUUGGAAACAGGUGCUAAUACCGGAUAAAAGGAGAGAUCACAUGAUUUCUUUUUGAAAGGCGGCGUAAGCUGUCGCUAAAGGAUGGACCCGCGGUGCAUUAGCUAGUUGGUAAGGUAACGGCUUACCAAGGCAACGAUGCAUAGCCGAGUUGAGAGACUGAUCGGCCACAUUGGGACUGAGACACGGCCCAAACUCCUACGGGAGGCAGCAGUAGGGAAUCUUCCACAAUGGACGCAAGUCUGAUGGAGCAACGCCGCGUGAGUGAAGAAGGUUUUCGGAUCGUAAAGCUCUGUUGUUGGUGAAGAAAGAUAGUGGAGAGUAACUGCCAUUAUUUGGCCGGUAAUCAACCAGAAAGUCACGGCUAACUACGUGCCAGCAGCCGCGGUAAUACGUAGGUGGCAAGCGUUGUCCGGAUUUAUUGGGCGUAAAGCGAGCGCAGGCGGAAAGAUAAGUCAGAUGUGAAAGCCCUCGGCUUAACCGAGGAAUAGCAUCGGAAACUGUCUUUCUUGAGUGCAGAAGAGGAGAGUGGAACUCCAUGUGUAGCGGUGGAAUGCGUAGAUAUAUGGAAGAACACCAGUGGCGAAGGCGGCUCUCUGGUCUGUAACUGACGCUGAGGCUCGAAAGCAUGGGUAGCGAACAGGAUUAGAUACCCUGGUAGUCCAUGCUGUAAACGAUGAGUGCUAAGUGUUUGGGAGGUUUCCGCCUCUCAGUGCUGCAGCUAACGCAUUAAGCACUCCGCCUGGGGAGUACGACCGCAAGGUCAAAACUCAAAGGAAUUGACGGGGGCCCGCACAAGCGGUGGAGCAUGGUGGUUUAAUUCGAAGCAACGCGAAGAACCUUACCAGGUCUUGACAUCUAGUGCCAACCUAAGAAGAUUAAGCGUUCCCUUCGGGGACACUAAAACAGGGGUGCAUGGGCUGUCCGUCAGCUUCGUGUCGUGAAAUGUUGUUAGUCCCGCAACGAGCGCAACCCUUAUUAUUAGUUGCCAGCAUUAAGUUGGGCACUCUAAUGAGACUGCCGGUGACAAACCGGAGGAAGGUGGGGAUGACGUCAAGUCAUCAUGCCCCUUAUGACCUGGGCUACACACGUGCUACAAUGGGCAGUACAACGAGGGGCGAACUUGUGAAGGCAAGCGAAUCUCUGAAAGCUGUUCUCAGUUCGGACUGUAGGCUGCAACUCGCCUACACGAAGCUGGGAUCGCUAGUAAUCGCGGAUCAGCACGCCGCGGUGAAUACGUU